AAAAAUUAGAUUUUUCAUCCAAGGGAAAGGGCACCACAAUCACCGUGCCUCAAACCAUCUUUGGGCAUCUCAAAAUUUUUUGAAAGGGCUCCUAGGCAUGGAGAAGGAUUUUGGUAUCUCACACACCCAAGGACUCUCCAAGAAAAAAAAAAUUUAUUAAGAUGCCAACAACUUUCUUUGUGUUGGGUAUAAAAUAAUCCCAGCCGAAGUUCGUAGGAGGCCAACCCUCCCAGGACUCUUCCGACUUCCGACCUUGUGCGGCGUCUUUCUGAACUCCCCCGAUCGUUCGAACUCCUACCGUACCCUCCGAACUUCUCCAAUAAUGAGCUCCUUCAGUCGUCUAUCGGACUGCUCCAAAUGCUCUCUGGACUUCACUAUCAGCCGAUUUUCUACAAUGAUCGACUAAUCUCCAAAUCUCUUCCAGACUUCCUCCUGUCACGAUCGACUUUACUCCGAGCUUCUUCCAGACUUCGUCAAUGUCCGGGCUUCUCCAGCAGCAGGACUUCUACAGUAACCAGACUCCAUCCAAGUUUCUACGGUGGUCGACUGCCUUCCAAAUUUCAUCCGAGCUUCUACAGUAAGCGAAUUCCGUCCGAACUUCUAUUGCAAGCGGACUUCAUCCGAGUUUCUACGGUAAGUGAACUUCAUCCGAGCUUCUAUAAUAAGUGAUCUCCAUCCGGGCUUCCAUGGCAAUCGAUCUCCAUCCGAGC
rnacentral:lncRNA from 1 species